AGACGCGCGGGCCCUCCACCCAAAGUCAGCGACAACCUCCCCUCCAAAAAGAAAAAAAACCUAGGUCACAGCCGCCCCCAAAUCUACAUCCCGAUCCACCCGUGCCCUCCACCAUCCCGCCGCCGCCGCCGCCGCCCCCAACCAUCCCACCGCCGCUGUCGCACCCGCCAUCCCGUCACCGCGGAUAGCCCUCCACCCCGACCACUGCCGCCGUCGCCCCUAACUACCCAACAACAGCGCUGGCAGCACCCCACUAACCCGGACCACCACUGUCGCCGAGCCACUCAACCGGCGACUACCCUCCUCGAAUGCCUUCCCUCGCCACCACUCUACUUCGCGAGAUUCCUCCCCCGAGCAGGCUUCCUCCCUAAGACGACGGAGCCAGUAGUUCUUCGGAUGAGAUGGGUGAGUGCAAUGGUGUUGGUGUGUUCUUCGGAUGAGAUUGUGUCUGCAAUGUUGUUGGUGUGUUCUUCGGAUGAGAGAAGAACAGGUAGGUAAUUCGAAUCCGUGGUCUGUUGAUUACUCUUAUGUAAUAUUUGUAUUUUCUCUAGGUGCUGAUUUAAUCCUUCUGAACCCCAAUGAGGCUGAUAGCCUAAAUAAAUCUUUGCUCCAGGUAACUUCUACAAGUUUUGUAUUUAGUCUUCUAUUGCAUCAGGGGCAAACAAGCGCUCUCUUGUCUGAGUUUUACUUUCCUAUAUUGUAGAGUGCAUGAUUGUAGGACUACACAGUUUACAGAAUUUCUCUCAAAACAAAUAAAUAGAAGGAUUACAUGGAUGCAUAUUAGGUGAAUUGUACUAUAGGCUGUGCACUUGCCUUUUUCCUUCACAUCAAAAGUUCAAAACUGAUUUCUUGUAGGCUGUGCACUUGCCUUAUUGUUGGAAACAGAAAUGGAGCUCUGUCCUGCUAUUUUCUCUGUACUCUACCCUCAUGGUUCGUAGGGUAACAAGCACAAUAUUUAAAUGAAAUGUUGUUUACUGUCGGUGGCUUAUUUGUAUGCCUAACAAAUGUGGAUGGGCUUCUAGCCUAGUGGUCAGCGAACGGCUGUGUAAGCUGGCCGACGCAGGUUGGAGCCUCGGCUCGUACUCUGCUGUCUCACAUUCUCCUCUUAAUUAAAAAAUCAGUAGGGCUUCUUCCCCUACUGGUCUAGUUUUUUUAUGCCUAACAAAUUGGGUGCAAUGCUCAUUUGGUAAAAAUUUCUUACACUGUUGGUGGCUUGUUCAUGUGCUAGUCUGGCAUUGGUGAACUGUACUGUAGGUUGUGCACUUGCCUAUAGGUUGUGCACUUGGCUAGCUGGUUAGCCAUGUAAUUCUGCACCCUCUUUUGUUUGUAGGGUGUAUUUGAGAUCCCAUUUAUCUGCUCAUGUCUUAUUUUCAGUUCCAAAAUUUAGCAGUGCAAGUUACUGAUUGAUGUAUGGUUUCAAUGCUUGGUCGUGGUUACACAUGUAGUAAUGUAUAUUUGUUGGUAAGAACAAUGUGUGAUAGUAUGUUUUGUCAUGACUCAUGAGUGUGUCGAAAAAUCUAGACUUUGCCAUGACUUGAUAUUGCAGAGAUGUAUGUCGGAAGUACAAAUUGGUCCAAUGCUUACUAUCACUCUCACGUAUCUUUUAGUUGUUUCUACAGAAAGCUUUACGAAGUGAAUUCAUUACUACUUGAAGUCUUGUGUAUGGAAGGGAAAUUGGACAUUCUGCUCACUGUGUACUAAUCAAAAUUAGGAAGUAGACAAGUCCGCGGCAAAAGCAGGAAUUCGACCACAAGCAUGCUGAGUAGGUUUCGCAAAGGUACACAAGUUGAUGGAGGUUUGGAAGAUCUUCAAGCUGUUGAAGAUUUGGAAGACCUACAAUGAAGUUGGUGGAGUGAUAAUGCCAUAUGUCUUAUUUGUUGAAUCUGGAGAUUGCUCUGCUCAUUUCGGUUGUGGCACAUCUAGAAAUUUAUGUACUCAUUUUGUGGUACUACUUCAUUUUUGUAGUCUGGCACAUCUAGAAACAUAUAUGUACUUCUCCUUUUGUGGAAAAACCUUGUGUUUAUUGAAUAUAUUUUAAGGUUCUGAUGAGGCCUAUAUGUUACUUUGAUUGAUGAA